rnacentral:lncRNA from 1 species
UAGCUACUCGAGUUUUCAAAUCAAGUUCUUUCAUAUCCAUCUUUCAUACACAUAUUUGGUAAUCCACAGCCUUUUUAAGUCAUUAAUUAUGGCUAGCUCUGCAGUGACCAAGCUUGCUUUGGUGGUGGCCUUGUGCAUGGCGGUGAGCGUUGCUCAUGCCAUAACAUGUGGCCAAGUGACCAGCAGCCUUGCGCCAUGCAUUGGCUACGUGAGGAGUGGCGGAGCUGUCCCUCCAGCUUGCUGCAAUGGAAUCAGAACCAUUAACGGCUUGGCCAGGACCACCGCUGACCGCCAGACUGCUUGCAACUGCCUGAAGAAUCUUGCCGGCAGCAUCAGUGGUGUUAACCCUAACAAUGCAGCAGGGCUUCCUGGAAAGUGUGGAGUCAACGUCCCCUACAAGAUCAGCACCUCCACCAACUGCGCCACGUAAGCAUUACAAAACCCUAAUUCCCGUUGAAUGUCAAACCAUUAGAUCUUUGAUCUAAGUUGAACUCCAUAAACCCGAAAAAUAUGCAUACAUCGUUGCUAAUUGUUUUUGUUUUGGCUAAUGCAUCUUCCUCAAGAACAACAAUAUAAUUUAUUGAUUUUUGUGUUUUGUUGUUGUGUGAUUGCAGCGUGAAGUAAGCGAUGGGAGAUCAUUAAUUUCCGGCCGCAGAUAAUGUUUAGUGAGAAUAAAAUGUGCUUCUGCCAUCCGGCCACAAGGGAUUCCUCAUGAGGGAAUCGUUUAAGUUGUUCUAGUACUUCUGUAUCAUCUACUAGGCCAUCAAUAUUAAUUAUAAUACUCGUCCAUGUUGAAUUAAUGAAUAAUAUUUAAGUUUAAGGAAUGUUGUCCUCUUUUGCUAUUCCAUUUUACUUACUUAAAUCCCUCUUCCUCCCAUCAGAAACUAAACAAAAAUGAAACGGAAAGAGAAAAAAGGAAGCAAAAUUAGCAUGAACAACCGCCGGAUUGAAUUUUUCACCAAUAACUCGUUAAUUAUAAGAUGGGUUUAGUUAAAAUAGUUAUGGAAAAGAAAGGAAAGAAAGAUGCAAUAAUAGAACAAUUCUUGUCCUAGUGUACAGUACAAGAAUAGCUUGUAAUCGAGAAAAACUCAUGUAGUAUAUGGGACGGUAAAUAUGAAUCAGUGAACAUCGCAUGAUAUUAUUAUUUCACGAAUUAUUAAUGAAGACUUAUGAUGUAGUUGAGAGUAUUACAUUUUUUGCUCCUCAAAUAGAGUAAAAAUUCAAAAUCUUUAGGUUUUUUUUUUUACUUUGAAAGCCAAUUGAUUAAAAGCUCCUUAUGGUUGUUGAGCCUGCUAUUGUUAUAUAAUAAAAUCUCUAGGUAUUACAUAUAAUGCUUUUAGUUGAGGAAAACGAACUACUUUGGGGUCCUAACCCUGUUGGCACUUUCUUUGUCAAGUGAGCUACUUGGUUACAAAAGUACUGAUACCUAAGCUUCUUUUAGAGCUAGUGUUCAAAAUACGGGUAGAAACAUAGUAUACUACACAAAGCAAAAAUCUUUUCUGGCUCCGGCCGGGUAGACUUAAAACAAGAGCAAGAAUUGCUAAUUUUCAUCUUAAUACUGAUCUUACUUCUAUCUAUAUUAUAAUCUCACUCACCAUAAAAAGUUAAAAAUUUUAAAUGUUAUUUCUCCCUAGAAUCCCUUUCUCCACCCACUAUACUAUUCCUAAUUAACUUCUAAUAUUAUCUAAAGUCUUUUUUAAUUUUCAGAAGAAUGAUUGUCAAUAUGUUUUCAAAACGAACCAGCAUUCUCUUCUUUAGUCGCAGCACCACAACUCGAUUACCCUUGCCGCACCAACACGCCUCAAAACGCCACUCACCCCCGUCAACAACCAAACCUUUGAAACAUGGUAAAUGUUCAGAUCGAAAAAUUUGCUUUCUACACGUCCUGUGCCGAUCGUUCCUCACGGCGAGCAUCUCCUCUCUCUGCUACCUUGUUCUUCGAACGUUUGGCGUCAAACUGGACAGCCAGGGUCUUUUCUCUUGCCUUUUCACAUGUAUUUUUAUUUAAUGACCUCAAAUUCACUAUUUGAAAAUAGUAUUAUUUUCCAAGUUCUACCUAAAAAGAAAACUAAAAAAAAUGAAAAACAGCUAACAAACAAUUUUAAAACAGGUUUCAUUUCUUUUCUAAAUUGAAAAGAACUAAACCUAAAAAUUAAAUGGUUAACAAAUGAGACCUUAGUAUAGUCCAGCCGUUAUUACGUACCUUUUGGUAAGCAUAAUACAAUGAUUUCCAUCAUGAUAAUUGUGGAGCAAAAAAUAAUCAAGAAAAUUAUGAAGGUGACAUGUGGACUUUUGGGUGAAAAGGAUAAAAUUACCCUUGAGGUACACCCGGAUUCCCACUCGCAUGCAACAGAUAAUAACGGCUCAAUCAAAGAAGAGUCAAAAGUGAUCAAAAUGAUAUUUAUUUAAACUCCUCUCAUCACUCAUCAAAUAUUUAUUCAAAAGGUAACUCCCAAUUUUCCUAUUCAAUUUAGGAUUAAUUGCCAAGUUAAUUGCAAAAUAUUAUUUCAUAUAAUAUCUUGCAAUUAUACUCACAAUUUCACCAUAUAUGGCCGGCCCCUAUUCUCCAAAUAGGGCCAGCCACUCUCCUAUAAAUAGUCAUAUUCUCCCACUAAAAAAUUAAGCCAUUUGCUAAUCAUAAACUCCCAAACACAUUCUUUUCAUAAUUCUAACUUUGGUAUCGGAGAUUUUUCGGCCAAAGCCCUCCCCCCAAUUCAUCGUGGACACGUGAGACUUUUGGUCUUAAUCUUAGGUGUUAUUAUUUUGUAGGUGCAUUUUCGUCAAAUGAGAAGACCGCGGAAAUUUGCAUCCACAAAUUGGUGCUUUCAUUGAGAAUCUUAAAUCACAAGCUCGAAGAAGACUCUCGCAUUCAAAGUUUCUCAUUUCUCGUUCAUUUGUAGAUUUUUUGUACGUUCUUAUUCCUAUAUUUUUUUAUAAAGUUACAAUGACUAGAAAUUCGGAAACCACAACGAGUGGAACUUCCUACAUUCAAGGAUUUGGACCAAGUGAUGGAGAUCGUGACAUAGCCUUACCACAACAAUCCAUGAGGCUCAACAUGAUGACGAGUAGAGUGGCACCAUCCCCACAGAGAACCAUCGUGGCCAUGCCAACGGCAGCAGCCACCGUAGCAGCUCACAGUGAAGGCAUCACCUUGCAGUCGCUAGCCCAAGCUCGAGCCACUUGCAGCAGUGAGCCCAGGCCUGUGCCACAAGGGAGCUUAACAUGGCUCAGUGCAAGCAGGCCCAAAUUGCAGCCGCAUUUGACAAAGUAGUAGCCCAAGACCAGCAGGCCCGAGUCACGCAAAGGGGAGCCUAGUGCCCACGCGCUUCACUGCCCCAUGCUAUUUUUGUGGCCCUCAAAGCAAUCCAAGACCAGUUCAAUCAUCUUGGCUUCAAAUUGUUAGGCCGACAAUUGAACCGGGGGUAUUUUCGCCCUAUUUUUCUGCAGAUUUAGCAUAUCCUCACUCAAAUGGCAAACAACACUUGUCUCGACAAGUCAUAAAGUUGACAAGCACCCUCGCGUAACAGACAACCUUGGUAAAUCAGCUUUUGCAGUGUCCCGAAGUAGGACAUGAGCAGACAACGAACCUCUCUAGCAGCGUCCCGGCAAGCAAUCACUCAAUUAGUCACAAACCGAUCAUUCUAGCAGUGUACACUAUCGACUGGGCCACCGAGAUAGCGUAUACUCUCAGUUAGGCCCACAGACAAACAUACAUUAAAUGUUAGGGCCACACUUCGAUAAUCAACAUGAGCAACCUUCUAGGCGAAGUGUUCAUUCGUGGCUAAGCCCGCAAGGAGCAUCCUCUACCUCACAUUGGAGUAGGCAGCACAACGGACGGAGAGAAACAGACACUCAAUUUGGUAAAGUUGAAUCGGCAUCCUGCGAGAAAUUCGCUUGCCUGCUAGGAACGUACCAUAUGCACCGCAGCCAUCUCAUAAACGAGCUGAACACAUGGAAGAGCAGCUUAGACCAGCAGGUCACGACCGAGGGCAGCUGAGAGCUCCGCUACCCCCAAUAAAUGCAAAUUCAAGAAGAAGUAGAGAGACACUUGACCUAGCGAUUGGGCGAUUUCCAACGCAACGAGGUCACUGACGAGGCACUAUAACGAGACACGACCAACAUAAAUAGGUCAUCCUUCACGGACGACAUCAAGCAGGCAUAGCCUCAAUUCAAAUUUAGCAUGCCACAUUUCACAUCCUUCAAAGGGGAUGAAGACCCGAAGAGACACUUGAAGCACUACCAAAGUAUAAUGAUCCUUUAUCGGAACAACGACGAUCUCAUGUGUAAGAUAUUCGCCACCACUUUACAGGGCAAGGUGCAAGAUUGGUUCCGUACCCUGCCACCACAAUCCAUUCGGAGUUUCAAUAAGCUCUUUUGGUUUACACCAAGGAGUAUUCAUUCUACUGCUCGAUUAAAAAGAAGUCCAACCAUUUGUUCAAUGUCAAGAAGAACCCAAAUGAGUCUUUUCGCAACUAUGUGAAGAGGUUUAAAGUAGAGAAGGCAAAGAUAGUCAAAUGUGACGACUCGAUAGCUAGUGCAGCCUUCUAAAAAAGACUCCCAGUAGACCAUCUAUUGUUUGGAGAAUUGAUUAUGAAAGAAGAUCUAACUAUGACAGACUCUUUCGCUCUGGCAGAGAAACAUGCACUUUGGGACGAAGCACAUCAGGCAGACAAGGCACUCGAGCAGCCUCGAAAAGAAUCGGCAAUAACUCAAAAGAAAGAGGACGGAAAGUAGUACAACAACAUAAAUAGGUAGAAGGCCGAGCAUAUGGACCGAUCCUCGACUAAAGAAAGCCUGACGCCCAAGAACUAUUAUAAGUUCUUGAUCCUGAUCCAGUAAAUCCUCCGCGACAUCAAAAGCGAACCAUGGUUCAAGCUGUCGAAACAAUCAAAGCGAGAUACCUCCAAGUUGGACCACACCAAGUACUGCGCAUUCCAUCGAGGUUCCAGUCACACAACUGACGACUGCUACACUUGGAAGAACUACCUAGAGAAGUUGGUAAAAGAAAGCAAGGUGGAAAAAUACUUAGACAAGCCAGCUGCGUAUCUUAGAAGAAACGCAGAUGCUGACGAAGAGCCGAUAACCAAGACAAUUCGGAUCAAUGACAUCUCCACUGAAUUCGAGCACUUGGGGGCCACCAACAGCUCCAAGAAAAAGGAAGAUCCAGCAGGCUCUACUAGUCUCAUAGGUCCAGGCAGUCAACACCCAACCUAGACCCAUCGUUGGCUUCAUCGAGCAAGAUGCCGAAGACAUCGACUUCCCACAUAACGACGCACUAGUGGUAUCUGUCCAACUAGCCCAUGCCAUAGUCGAUAAAAUGAUGGUUGACAAAGAAAAUGCAAUUAACCUACUUCAGCUCUCAGUGAUUCAGAAGAUGGGCUUGGAAAACACAAUCAUACGCCGAGCAGAGGUACUUACUAGAUUCAACGGACACACCUUAACUGCCAUCGACAACAUUACACUUAACGUGAGAAUACCGCCAGCUGUUUCAAAGUAGAUGUUCACGAUAGCAAGUGACAUGUCUCCCUACAAUAGGAUUCUAGGGCGACCUUGGCUGAUAAAGCUUGAUGCCGUAACCUUCAUCAAAUAUCAAAAAAUUCAAUUCCACAUUCCAGGAUGAGGAAUCAGAAAAAUCAAGUCUAACCAAGCCACAUCUUGACAAUGCACUGUGCACAUACUGAAUGAGUAAAAAAAAAAAAGACAUUUACCCUAGUAGAGGCUAUCGAGGUCCAAAGGGAUGACGAAGCUACCAAAUAGUAAUUACAACAGACGGAUCAAGAAGAUGGUGUCCAAAUCAAUAAACCAGUAGACAAGACGGGAUAGAAACCUGAAGAGGAUGCCGAACACAUCAUUCUUGGUCCCCAGCAGCUAGAGAAGACUGCUAGAAUUGACUUACGUCUAAGCCCUAAAGAAAAUGAGAAACUUACGACUUUCCUUAAGGAAAAUUGUGACGUCUUCACAUGGUCACAUUUUGCACAAGUUGCACGUUGACCCCACUACAAAACUGGUAAUCCAAAAAAGAAGACAUUUCACACCUGAAUGAGUGGUGAUCAUCGAAGCUGAAAUCGACAAGCUAUUGAAUGACAGAUUCAUAGAAGAGGUAGCACACUCAGCAUGGCUUACCAACAGCAUGCUAGUAAUGAAGAAAUAGAAGGGUAAAUAGAUAGUUUAUGUAGACUACACCGACCUCAACAAAACAUGCAUGAAGAAUCCUUAUCAAGUUCAUCGAAUCGAUAUACUAGUAUAUUCAACUUCCGGGAACCAGCUGUUUAGUUUCUUGGACGCAUACUCCGACUAAAACCAAAUAGCCAUGCACGAGGCCGAUAAGGAAAAAACAACGUUCGUGAUCGAACGAGGCACCUACUGCUACAAGGUCAUGCCUUUUGACCUCAAGUACGUGGAAGCCACUUACCAACAAUUGGUAAACAUGAUGUUUAAGAAGCAAAUUAGAGUAACCAUGGAGGUUUACGUCGACGACGGUGAAAGGCAAGUAGCGACCAGACUACAUCGACAACUUGGCGGAAACUUUUGACAUCCUUAAAAAGUACAAGAUGAAGCUCAAUCCUGCCAAAUGCACAUUUUGAGUAUCUUCAGGCGAAUUCUUAAAGUACCUAGUGACCCAAAGAGGAAUCAAAGCACAUCCCAAGCAGAUCCAAGCAAUCCUAGAAAUGAAAUCUCAAACUUCCUUGAAGGAGAUCCAAAGUUUGACCGGAUGAACAGCCACGCUUAACUGCUUCCUCUCGUAGUCGCGGAAGACUUAUACAUCUACUUGACAAUCUCAGAAAUUGCAGUAAGCUCUGCCCUUAUACGAGAAAAGUUGAGGGCCCAACUGCCGGUAUUCUACACUUCUAAAGCUCUUCUCGAUAUGGAAACCAGAUAUCCGAGAAUCGAGAAAUUAAUUUUGGCACUAGUUGUUGCAGCUCGGAAACUCAGACUAUAUUUUCAAGCUCAUACAGUCAUCAUCAUGACUUAGUAUCCUUUACGAUCAAUCUUACAUGGUCCAAAUACUUCUCAACGAGUAAUGAAAUGGGCGUUGGAACUUGGCUAAUACGGCUUAGUUUUCCAACCCUGAACGACGAUAAAGGCCUAAGCCUUGGCGGACUUCAUAGCAAAGUUCAUGCCUAGCUUAGGCAACUCCAACAGAACGACCUAACGACGCCCCGGAAGCAUUUGAGCAUGCCUUAGCCAAGCCUGCUUCACCCGAUUGAGACUUUUAGCAUUUGCACGUUGACAAUGAAUCAAACUACAAGGGCUCAGGAGCAGGUGUGGUUCUUGUCACCUUAGACAGUUCGAUGCUCGAGCAGGUGAUCACUCUAGGCUUCAAAGCAUCCAACAACGAAGUAAAGUACUAAGCCCUAAUUGUAGGCUUCCGAAUGGCAAAAGAUUUGGGGGUGUAAAAGCUUGUAAUUCAUUAUGAUUCUCAGCUAAUCACCAGCCAGACUAUUAGAGAGUACACGAUAAAACAUCCAAAGAUGGCGCAAUACCUAAAAAAGGUACGAAAGCAACUUGAAGCAUUUCAGACUUCCCCCCUCACUCAAGUUUCACGGGAAAACAACACUUACGCGGACGCACUAGCCAGCCUAGGCUUCGCCCUUGACCAUCAACUCAAAUGCUCUAUUGGACUAUCUAGACAAGCCAAACAUAGAGACGGAGCCAGUAAUCGAGGUGUCACAGGUUAGUACAACUCCAAACUGGAAAGAUUCCAUUAUAGAUUACCUGGUCAAUAAAACAAUUCCCAUGGAAAGAUUGGAGUCUAAAAAGCUCCAAAUAAAGGUAGCACACUACUACAUAUGGAACGGCAUUCUCGUUCGAAGAUCCUAUACUGGACCAUAUCUCUGUUGCCUAUUGUCUCCCGACGACCUAGAGGUUUUAAGUUCAAUCUAUGAGGGCAUUUUUGGAAAUCACUUCGGAGGUCAAUCCUUAGCAAAGAAGGCUCUUAACACAAGUUACUACUGGCCUACUAUGCAUUAAGACAUUAAGGAGUUAGUACUAAAGUGCGACCGCUACCAACGCUACAAGCCAGUACCAGCAUUGCCUGCCAGAGCCUAUGAUAACCACAACUUAGACGGACAUAGAGCAUUUCAUAUGAAGGAACAUCAUCUGUCAAUUUUGCAACCCUUAAUCCAUCUAGUGCGAGAGGGUAAACCAAUUCCCUGACACCCAUAUGGGUUUACUCUCCAAUGCGAAAGGAUAAACUAUACACUCUGAAUAUCCAAACGUGGAUGAGUCAAGUUGCCCUGGUGUAAUUAGAUGCACGAUGGCUUAGGCCGGGAUUCCCAGAAGUAGCCACAAUGGUUUUUUUCAAGGCUUAGCUAACUGAAGGAUUUUGGGUCUUUUAGCAUAAUCCGUGGGGAACUGGGCCUUAUAGAUGGAUGAGGCACAUUACGCAGUAUGCCCUAUAGACGGUUGUCCUGGAACCCUAAAACUGCUACAGAGUGCACAAAGGUAGCCUAUGGUUUCCAGAAGACUACCUACAGCUUGCAUUUCAGGCAGUAAGUCGCACUAAACUUAUACAAUCACAUAUUUUUGUGAAAGGUUAAACAGUUAGUGUGCAUAUACGAAACUUUAUCCACUGUCGACAUGCUAUGCAGUCGAUAAGCUUCACCUAUGACAAGCACAGAAUGAUCGUUUAGAUAUACACUAAUUCCUAAAUUGUUGUGAUACUUGUUACGUAACCUACGGAAUUGGUUACAUAAAGAGCAAGAAGUUCUCUUGGACCUUUGCUUAUGAAAUUCCAUACAACCACGUACUUUUAAUGCGAAAGGAUAGCGAAUAUUAUGACCAAAAAAUAUUUAUUAUGUUAUGAUGCAGGCCACACAACUCAAAGGAUUGAAGAAAGCCAAGGUUAAUAGUCAAGUGCUCACGCAAACUCGUUUGCUUUUGUAAGUAAGGCAUCCGACUGCCGACCCCAUGGCUAACAACUAUGCAAAAGUUAUAUACCAACACCUACAGCUACAUAGGCUACACGGGCUUGUCUAUUUAUAGAAAAGCAUCAUGCUUACUACUGGUCUAAAGUCAAAGGUUGGGCAUAAACAAAAGAAGCGAAGAUGAAGAAAAACGAAGGAAGCAAGUUUAUUAAAUUUUCUAGCAAAAUUGAGAAACAAAUAGCAAAGGCCAAAGGAGUUCAAGCAAAGCAAAAAGCUACAAGGAAAACAAAGAAAAUCCUAAAGGCUACCUAGAAGAUUAUUCUUCAGCAACUUGGACACCCCACAACUACUCGUUAGCCAUACCUUCAGCAGCUGCGACGCUCUCAAUAGCGGCAUCAUCCAGCGUUUCACCCUCGGCUGUCUCAACUUGGGCACCAACUUCUCUGACUACUUCACCAAUGGAAGCCUCAAAAGUAAAGGCAAUCAAGUUUUCUAGAAAAAUAGAGAAGGUCUCAAAAUCUUUCCCAGCAAACUUAAAGUCAGACGGCCUACCAAAGAGAUAAUCUAUAUAAUCGAGCUUGUAGAAAUCAACCUAACUCUGUACAAGCGAAUCCUGUUAGCAAUCAAACUAGCUACCUUUGGCAUAACAAGUGUCACCGACUCAAAUCUAGCAGCCUCAUCUUUCUUCCCCUUUGAAGAAGUCAAGUCAAUCAUAAGCCUAUCGGCAGUAGGCGGACCUUCAUGAGUAGCGGAGGAAGUCUUCGGCUUUUUCUCAGCCAGCAUCUCUUGAGCAGGCGGGGAAGAUCUUUUAUUUCCACCUUCAUUCACAGCAGGCUCCACGACAGUGAUCAGACAAGCUAAUGCCUCCACCUUGAUCUGCUUUAUCUCCUCUAUCGGGGACAGCCCACCUUUCUCCUAACGAAUAGGACUAAGCAACCAACGCCAUUCACGAUACUUAGCAGGGAUACCCAAAGUAAAGGAAGAUCUUUAUAACUGUUGACAUUUCCUACGAGCAGCCUAACAGGUGUGGGGGCAUUUGUGGAUCUAAAAAUAAUCAAGAAAAUUAUGGAGGUGACACGUGGACUUUUGGGUAAAAAUGAUAAGAUUACCUUCAAGGAACACUGAGAUUCCCACUCGCAUGCAACGGACAAUAACGGCUCAAUCAAGAAAGAGUCAAAGGUGAUCAAAAUGGUAUUUACUCAAAUCCCUCUCAUCACUCCUCAUCAAAGCUUUAUUCAAAAGGUAACUCACAAUUUUCCUAUUCAAUUUAGGAUUAAUUGCCAAGUUAAUUGCAAGAUAUUGUUUCACAUAAUAUCUUGCAAUUAUACUUACAAUUUCACUAUAUAUGGUCGGCCCCUAUUCUAUAAAUAGGGUCAGCCACUCCUUUAUAAAUAAUCAUAUUCUUCUACUAAAAAGCUAAGUCAUUUGCUACCCACAAACUCCCAAACACAUUCUUUGACAUCGGAGAUUCUUUGGCCAAAGCCCCCCCCUCCAAAUUCAUCAUGAGCGCGUGAGACUUUUGGCCUUAAUCUUAGGUGUUAUUAUUUUGCAGGUGCAUUUUUGUCAAAGAAAAAGAUGGCGGACAUUUGCAUCCACAAUAAUGCUUUUCAUGUCCUUCCCCAAAUUAUAACGUCCUUCCCCAAAUUAUAAUGUCCAUCCCCAAAUUUGUACGAGGAAUUUGGUUCUCCUUUGAUGGCAUUUUACACGAGAGGCGUGAAUUUCGUUUUAUGAAACUUAUCUUAGGUUCGCCAAUAAUAUAAUUUUGUACUUUCUCAUUCACGUAGGUGGUAAGUGGCGGAUCAUUUAUGUAAUUAGGCUAAUAAGCUUGAAUCUGUGCUUAAGAGCAUUUAAGGGACUCAGCUGCAAUUACAAAAUUAGAGCAUGGUACGUACCAAAAGCAUUAAUUUCAUCACAGCCACCAACUAACUCCAUCCCAACUCCUACCAGACGUACAUGCAUGCCUUUUUUCUUCUGUAGUUCAGUUCACAUAAAGUAUAUGUUUCUCACUAUACUAGCCCACCACACAUGAGACUUAGUAGAAAGAAGAUUUAUCAAAUAAAAUACAUGGUUGCUUAUGUAUAAUUUUUCACUUGUAAGUGGAAUGUCUUGACUAGGUUCGAAUUUCUUAGAUAAUGAGUUUAAAAUCAAAUUACUAUGACCACCCAUUGUAUGACUAGCCCCAAAUAUCCCCUACGUUGUAAAAUAGAGUAUUGUUGCAUAAAAAAGAAGUCAUUUUUCAUUGUAUACAAAUCAUAAUUUGAUAUAUGUUCCGACGAGUGUUCAAUAACUUUAAAAUGUAAGGAGUUCGAAUUAAUAAUUCAUUAUGCUGAUUUAUGUAACAAGUAAUUAAACACGUAAACGUGGCCACAAAAGUUGUUGACAACUAUACCCUUAGUUCAACUAUUCUUUCUUAAUUUUUCUCUAUACAAGCACCACACCAUAGUGCCUUUAUAACUCACUAGCUACUCGAGUUUUCAAAUCAAGUUCUUUCAUAUCCAUUUUUCAUACACAUAUUUGGUAAUCCACAGCCUCUUUAAGUCAUUAAUUAUGGCUAGCUCUGCAGUGACCAAGCUUUCUUUGGUGGUGGCCUUGUGCAUGUCGGUGAGCGUUGUUCAUGCCAUGACAUGUGGACAAGUGACUAGCAACCUUGGGCCAUGCAUUAACUACGUGAGGCGUGGCGGAGCUGUCCCUCCAGCUUGCUGCAAUGGAAUCAGAACCAUUAACGGCUUGGCCAGGACCACCGCUGAUCGCCAGACUACCUGCAACUGCCUGAAGAAUCUUGCCGGUAGCAUCAGUGGUGUUAACCCUAACAAUGCAGCAGCACUUCCUGUAAAGUGUGGAGUCAACGUCCCCUUCAAGAUCAGCACCUCCACCAACUGCGCCACGUAAGCAUCACAAAACCCUAAUUCCCGUUGAAUGUCAAACCAUUAGAUCUUUGAACUAAGUUGAACUCCAUAACCCCGAAAAAAAUGCAUACAUCGUUGCUAAUUGUUUUUGUUUUGGCUAAUGCAUCUUCCUCAAGAACAACAAUCAACAGUAUAUUUUAUUGAUAUAUAUGGGAGAUUAUCAAUUUCCGGCCGCAGAUAACAUUUAGUGAAAAUAAAAUGUGCUUGUGCGGUCCGGCCACAUGGGAUUCCUCAU